rnacentral:rRNA from 1 species
GACGAACGCUGGCGGCGUGCUUAACACAUGCAAGUCGAACGGUAAGGCCCUUCGGGGUACACGAGUGGCGAACGGGUGAGUAACACGUGGGUGAUCUGCCCUGCACUUCGGGAUAAGCCUGGGAAACUGGGUCUAAUACCGGAUAGGACUUCUGGCUUCAUGGUUGGGGGUGGAAAGCUUUUGCGGUGUGGGAUGGGCCCGCGGCCUAUCAGCUUGUUGGGGGGGUAAUGGCCUACCAAGGCGACGACGGGUAGCCGGCCUGAGAGGGUGACCGGUCACACUGGGACUGAGAUACGGCCCAGACUCCUACGGGAGGCAGCAGUGGGGAAUAUUGCACAAUGGGCGCAAGCCUGAUGCAGCGACGCCGCGUGAGGGAUGACGGCCUUCGGGUUGUAAACCUCUUUCAGCUAUGACGAAGCGCAAGUGACGGUAGUAGCAGAAGAAGGACCGGCCAACUACGUGCCAGCAGCCGCAGUAA